AACGAACGCUGGCGGCAUGCUUAAUACAUGCAAGUCGAACGAGUGGCGGACGGGUGAGUAAUAGAUAGGAAUGUGCCCAGUAGCGGGGGAUGACUACUAGAAAGAGUGACUAAUAGCGCAUAAUGUUGUAGCGGCCGAGAUAGGAUUAUCUGGGUGGUGGGGUCAAGGCUAACCAAGGCAACGAUCCGUAGCUGGUUUGAGAGGAAGACCAGCCACACUGGGACUGAGCAACGGCCCAGCCUCCUACGGGAGGCAGCAGUGGGGAAUUUUGGACAAUGGGGGAAACCCUAAUGCAGCCAUCCCGCGUGUAUGAGAAGGCCUUGGGGUUGUAAAGUACUUUUUGCAGAGAAGCGGUAUCUGCAGAAUAAGCACCGGCUAACUACGUGCCAGCAGCCGCGGUAAUAC
rnacentral:rRNA from 1 species